rnacentral:rRNA from 1 species
CCUACGGGGGGCUGCAGUGAGGAAUAUUGGUCAAUGGACGCAAGUCUGAACCAGCCAUGCCGCGUGCAGGAAGACGGCUCUAUGAGUUGUAAACUUCUUUUGUACGAGGAUAAACGCAGAUACGCGUAUCUGUCUGAAAGUAUCUUACGAAUAAGGAUCGGCUAACUCCGUGCCAGCAGCCGCGGUAAUACGGAGGAUUCAAGCGUUAUCCGGAUUUAUUGGGUUUAAAGGGUGCGUAGGCGGUUGGAUAAGUUAGAGGUGAAAGCCUGAGGCUCAACUUCGGAAUUGCCUCUGAUACUGGUCGGCUAGAGAGCAGUUGCGGUAGGCGGAAUGUAUGGUGUAGCGGUGAAAUGCUUAGAGAUCACAAAGAACACCGAUUGCGAAGGCAGCUUACCAAGCUACUUCUGACGUUGAGGCACGAAAGCGUGGGGAGCAAACAGGAUUAGAUACCCCAGUAGUC